AGAGUUGUAUCCUGGCUCAGGAUGAACGCUAGCGGCAGGCCUAACACAUGCAAGUCGAGGGGUAACAGGAAAGCUUGCUUUUGCUGACGACCGGCGCACGGGUGCGUAACGCGUAUGCAACCUACCUCAUACUGGAGCAUAGCCCUUGGAAACGGGGAUUAAUACUCCAUGGUAUCAUGAAUUCGCAUGUUUUCAUGAUUAAAGAAUUUCGGUAUGAGAUGGGCAUGCGUCCCAUUAGCUAGUUGGUGAGGUAACGGCUCACCAAGGCGACGAUGGGUAGGGGGCCUGAGAGGGUGGUCCCCCACACUGGUACUGAGACACGGACCAGACUCCUACGGGAGGCAGCAGUGAGGAAUAUUGGUCAAUGGAGGCAACUCUGAACCAGCCAUGCCGCGUGAAGGAUGACGGCCCUAUGGGUUGUAAACUUCUUUUAUAUGGGAAGAAACUUAUCUACGUGUAGAUAACUGACGGUACCAUACGAAUAAGGAUCGGCUAACUCCGUGCCAGCAGCCGCGGUAAUACGGAGGAUCCAAGCGUUAUCCGGAUUCAUUGGGUUUAAAGGGUCCGUAGGCGGAUUUUUAAGUCAGUGGUGAAAGCCGACAGCUCAACUGUCGAACUGCCAUUGAUACUGGAGAUCUUGAGUACAAAUGAAGUAGGCGGAAUGAGUCAUGUAGCGGUGAAAUGCAUAGAUAUGACUC
rnacentral:rRNA from 1 species